rnacentral:rRNA from 1 species
UACAGAGGUCUCAAGCGUUGUUCGGAUUCACUGGGCGUAAAGGGUGCGUAGGCGGGUCUUUAAGUCAGGGGUGAAAUCCUGGAGCUCAACUCCAGAACUGCCUUUGAUACUGAAGAUCUUGAGUUCGGGAGAGGUGAGUGGAACUGCGAGUGUAGAGGUGAAAUUCGUAGAUAUUCGCAAGAACACCAGUGGCGAAGGCGGCUCACUGGCCCGGUACUGACGCUGAGGUGCGAAAGCGUGGGGAGCAAACAGG